UACGGGGGGAGCAAGCGUUGUUCGGAUUUACUGGGCGUAAAGGGCGCGUAGGCGGCGUAACAAGUCACUUGUGAAAUCUCCGGGCUUAACCCGGAGCGGCCAAGUGAUACUGUCGGGCUAGAGUGCGGAAGAGGCGAGUGGAAUUCCUGGUGUAGCGGUGAAAUGCGCAGAUAUCAGGAGGAACACCGAUUGCGAAGGCAGCUCGCUGGGACGUAACUGACGCUGAGACGCGAAAAGCGUGGGGAGCAAACAGG
rnacentral:rRNA from 1 species